UAUACCUUUGUGGUGCGGGCAGAGGAGCAAUUUUAUUUUUAUUUUUCUUGACUUAAUUUCCCUUUUCUUUUAAGUCUCCUCUAUAUAUUUUGUCCCUAUCUACUAUCUAGCGAAACCACAGCCAAGGGAACGGGCUUGGAAAAAUCAGCGGGGAAAGAAGACCCUGUUGAGCUUGACUCUAGUCUGACUCUGUGAAGAGACAUGAGAGGUGUAGCAUAAGUGGGAGGCCGUGAACCCUCGCGGUUGUGUCGUG
rnacentral:ncRNA from 1 species